rnacentral:rRNA from 1 species
UAUACCCGGUGGAGAAAUAAGCAUAUCAAUAAGCGGAGGAAAAGAAACCAACAGGGAUUGCCCUAGUAACGGCGAGUGAAGCGGCAACAGCUCAAAUUUGAAAUCUGGCUCUUUUAGAGUCCGAGUUGUAAUUUGCAGAGGGCGCUUUGGCUUUGGCAGCGGUCCAAGUUCCUUGGAACAGGACGUCACAGAGGGUGAGAAUCCCGUACGUGGUCGCUGGCUAUUGCCGUGUAAAGCCCCUUCGACGAGUCGAGUUGUUUGGGAAUGCAGCUCUAAAUGGGAGGUACAUUUCUUCUAAAGCUAAAUAUUGGCCAGAGACCGAUAGCGCACAAGUAGAGUGAUCGAAAGAUGAAAAGCACUUUGGAAAGAGAGUCAAACAGCACGUGAAAUUGUUGAAAGGGAAGCGCUUGCAGCCAGACUUGCUUACAGUUGCUCAUCCGGGUUUCUACCCGGUGCACUCUUCUGUAGGCAGGCCAGCAUCAGUUUGGGCGGUAGGAUAAAGGUCUCUGUCACGUACCUCCUUUCGGGGAGGCCUUAUAGGGGAGACGACAUACUACCAGCCUGGACUGAGGUCCGCGCAUCUGCUAGGAUGCUGGCGUAAUGGCUGUAAGCGGCCCGUCUUGAAACACGGACCAAGGAGUCUAACAUCUAUGCGAGUGUUUGGGUGUCAAGCCCGAGCGCGUAAUGAAAGUGAACGGAGGUGGGAACCCGCAAGGGUGCACCAUCGACCGAUCCUGAUGUCUUCGGAAGGAUUUGAGUAAGAGCAUGGCUGUUGGGACCCGAAAGAUGGUGAACUAUGCUUGAAUAGGGUGAAGCCAGAGGAAACUCUGGUGGAGGCUCGCAGCGGUUCUGACGUGCAAAUCGAUCGUCAAAUUUGGGCAUAGGGGCGAAAGACUAAUCGAACUAUCUAGUAGCUGGUUCCUGCCGAAUUUCCCCCUCAGGGAA